CCCGCUGUAGCCUAGUUGGUAGAGGCGUCGCCAGUACAGAUGGUGAAGGUCGCUGGUUCAAAUAUAGCCUGUGGUG